UUGAACACGACGUAUUAAUAAGAAUAAUUACAGUAUUCUGCAGAAAAUACAUAUUUUAAUAAAUAGUUCUACUGAGUCGGGAUAGUCAAUGUUGCUGCAGGAUUCCACAAGCCUACAACUAACAUACAAAGCAGUUAAAAUUCUUAAACACAACAUCACAGCUAUAAAUUUAUAUCCUGAAAAAAGAGUAUUAAUUUUCAAAAUUUGAUUUAAGUCUUCAGCAGUUCGCACAUUUUUAUACCACUAAAACUUUUAUGGCACAUUGAGAAAAUUUUGAAUUUUUAUUAAAUCCCUCUAUUCUGGAUCAAAAUAUUAUUUUUUGGUUAUAUAAGCAGAUAGACUAUGUAAAAAAAACCAAAAAGAGAGGAACCUAUUUCCAACUAGGAAAAGAGAAGGCAGUAGCGCUGUGGAGGAUUGGUGUUUUGUCUUGUCCCGAUCCUCAGCUACAACAAGAAGUCAGUAUACCGAUGGAUUUUGUCACACUUUUAGUGCACUCUAUGUAUCAUAUGCUGUGACUAAUUUUAAAAUUUUCAUUUCACAAGUGGAGAAAUACUAACCAAAAUGAAUGUUAUCAAAAAGUUGUGUACCACGUUAGGUCAGAAAACUUUCAGUAUUCCUAUAAUUUGCUUGUGACAACUAAUAUCGACUAUUGGAAAUUUAUGAAUCAUAUUCAAAACAAGAACGUUUGCAAAGCUACAAUUGUUUUGUAGAUUAAUAAUUAUUUUACGGGAAUUCUAUCCAGAAAUAUAAACGAACGGUUUUAAAUCAGGAAAAGAUAUAUGUUCUUGCGGUGUAAAUACAAAAAUAUAAAGUUAAAACGCUGAACUAAAUACUUCAUUACAAUAACUGAUGACAUGAACUGAGGAUUAAUAAACAUGAACAGAUAAAGUAUUUCCAAUUGAAUGUAAUUAUAUACUAAUCAUCGUAAUAUGAGGAGUUGAAAUCUGACUUAAAAUACAUGAACUUAACGUUCUAACAACACUUCCAAAAAAGCAAAAUAAAAACAUUAUUGAACAACAAAACCGAAUUAUAAGGUGGGGACAAGCAUUUUUUUCUCGAAAAGGAUAUUUUUGGAUACCACUGAACCACUGAAUUCAAAUAUAAGAUCCAAUCCAAGGAAUAAAAUUAAUAUGAGAAAACAAAAAAUAACUCUCAAUAUAAAGCAGAUUUAAGUUUCCAAACAUCGUUCUCUGUACGUUCACAACUAUU